rnacentral:rRNA from 1 species
AGUGGCGGACGGGUGAGUAACGCGUAGGAAUCUACCUGAUAGUGGGGGAUAGCCCGAAGAAAUUCGGAUUAAUACCGCAUAAUCUAUUCGUAGUAAAGUGGGGGACUUUCGAGCCUCACGCUAUCAGAUGAGCCUGCGUAAGAUUAGCUAGUUGGUAGGGUAAAAGCCUACCAAGGCUACGAUCUUUAGCUGGUCUGAGAGGAUGAUCAGCCACAUCGGGACUGAGACACGGCCCGAACUCCUACGGGAGGCAGCAGUGGGGAAUAUUGGACAAUGGGGGCAACCCUGAUCCAGCAAUACCGCGUGUGUGAAGAAGGCCUGAGGGUUGUAAAGCACUUUCAAUUGUGAAGAAAAGCUAGUGGUUAAUAGCCAUUAGCCUUGACGUUAACUUUAGAAGAAGCACCGGCUAACUCCGUGCCAGCAGCCGCGGUAAUACGGAGGGUGCAAGCGUUAAUCGGAAUUACUGGGCGUAAAGCGUGCGUAGGCGGUUUAUUAAGUCAGAUGUGAAAGCCCCGGGCUUAACCUGGGAACUGCAUUUGAAACUGGUCAACUAGAGUAUGGUAGAGGAAAGUGGAAUUUCUGGUGUAGCGGUGAAAUGCGUAGAUAUCAGAUCACAUCAAUGGCGAAGGCACUUUCUGGACAAUACUGACGCUGAGGUACGAAGCGUGGGUAGCAAACAGGAUUAGAUUACCUCUU